GGUCGGAUUACAGGGCGAAUACUCCAUUGGCAGAUAGUAUACAUCUUAUAUCAUCUGUAGUAUGAGUGCAUAAUUUUUUAUGUAUGAAAAAUGCUUUACUGCCAAAGGAGAUUUGCCCCGCAAUUCAUGC
rnacentral:pre_miRNA from 1 species